rnacentral:rRNA from 1 species
AUUGAACGCUGGCGGCAGGCCUAACACAUGCAAGUCGAGCGCGAAAAUUCCUUCGGGGAUGAGUAGAGCGGCGGACGGGUGAGUAAUGCGCAGAAAUCUGCCCAGUAGUGGGGGACAACCUGGUGAAAACCAGGCUAAUACCGCAUACGCCCUACGGGGGAAAGCAGGGGAUCUUCGGACCUUGCGCUAUUGGAUGAGUCUGCGUCGGAUUAGCUUGUUGGUGAGGUAAUGGCUCACCAAGGCGACGAUCCGUAGCUGGUCUGAGAGGAUGAUCAGCCACACUGGGACUGAGACACGGCCCAGACUCCUACGGGAGGCAGCAGUGGGGAAUAUUGGACAAUGGGCGAAAGCCUGAUCCAGCCAUGCCGCGUGUGUGAAGAAGGCUCUAGGGUUGUAAAGCACUUUCAGUGGGGAAGAAAGCUUGUUAGCUAAUAACUGACGAGUGUGACAUUACCCACAGAAGAAGCACCGGCUAACUCCGUG